AAUGUGGUCUAUCACUUAAACAAUGUAUUUCUGAGCAGAAGUUUGCUGGUGUUUGAAUGAUGUUUCUAUUGCUAUUUAAGCUUUCAGGAAGAUGAAAUAUUUUACCCUGAGUGAUGGAAACUGAGAAGCUGUUAGAGUGAAAAGAUGAGAGUAUGGAAAACAUACACUGUGAAAUUCCAUGUUUGACCUGACUGUUGAAAUAGAGCUUGAGUUUUGAAAACAAACACACAUAAAAACAACAGAAACUCCUACAAAGGAGUUUUGAUGUGUUAUAAAUGCCUAUAUCACUAAUGCAAAGGUAUUUUCUCAUUUUUUAAAUGUUUGCAGCAAGUUUUUGUAGUUCCUCUCUGAGCUGGCCAUCGUGCAAAGUAUGACACUAAAGGAAAGCUUGUAGAGAACAGUGUGAUGGAGGAAAUAAUGACUUGUGAGUCUAGAAACCUACCACAGGAGCUAGAGCUUCAUGAUUUCUAUCAAAAGGUGGGCACCCACAGCUUGUCAUGGAUAGACCGGCAGAGCUGUCACCCAUCCUUGGCACAGCCUCCUCUGGGGACUGACUGUGUGAAUGGUUUGAACCCAGCCCAUGAACAGCCACUGGAAAUUGCGGCUGCGCUACCGUGCAUGAGCACAGUGCUGGGACGAGUCUAUUUGUCAGUGGGUGAGCACCCCAGGCCGGCUGGCGGCCGUGCCCGGGCUGAGCCGGGCGGGGGCUCGGUGCGGGCGGUGCCCGCGGGCGGGAGCGCUCGGCGCUCGGCGCAGCGGACAGUGCCAUCUGCUGCUCCGCGCCUGGAAAGCAAACCUGCUCCGGGCUGGCCCUCCACCGCUCCUGCCACCGUGUGCUCCCCAGCCCUGCCUCUGCCCCCGCCCGUUCCCCGGCCCUGCCUGUGCCACCGUGUGCUCCCCAGCCCUGCCUCUGCCACCGUGUGCUCCCCAGCCCUGCCUCUGCCACCGUGUGCUCCCCAGCCCUGCCUCUGCCCCCGCCCGUUCCCCGGCCCUGCCUGUGCCACCGUGUGCUCCCCAGCCCUGCCUCUGCCACCGUGUGCUCCCCAGCCCUGCCUCUGCCACCGUGUGCUCCCCAGCCCUGCCUCUGCCCCCGCCCGUUCCCCGGCCCUGCCUGUGCCACCGUGUGCUCCCCAGCCCUGCCUCUGCCACCGUGUGCUCCCCAGCCCUGCCUCUGCCACCGUGUGCUCCCCAGCCCUGCCUCUGCCCCCGCCCGUUCCCCGGCCCUGCCUGUGCCACCGUGUGCUCCCCAGCCCUGCCUCUGCCACCGUGUGCUCCCCAGCCCUGCCUCUGCCACCGUGUGCUCCCCAGCCCUGCCUCUGCCCCCGCCCGUUCCCCGGCCCUGCCUCUGGCCCCGUGUGCUCCCCGGCCCUGCCUCUCUGCGCUGCCUGCCAAGGUUUUCCAUCACUGCUGAGGUGAACGGCGCGCGUCCUGUGGCUUGGAAGGUUCCAACGAAGAGCUAACUCCUCAGCAGCUCUGGAGCUGUGGGGCUGCUGAUGCCCUGCAUAAAACAGCACCAUCGUCCACUAGAACACAUUACAAGCAGCUGUCACUGAUGUUGGAGGGAGUUCUUCAACCUGUUUUCUGGUAGAAGUUGACUUGCUGGGGGUAUUCAGAGAGACUGAUUUACUUGUAACUGUGUGUGUUGGAGCUAAAUGCUGGUGCAAUGACCGGAAGAACUUGGAGGAAGAUUUUUGUAAAUUCGGGAUUGAGCAGAAAAGAAAAUAUGAUCUACCAUUGCUGAUCCCAGAGAUUAAAGCAUCAAAAGUUCCUUUAACGGCUGCUAUUCAUGUAUCUGCAAUGCAGAACAAGCUACUCUGUUGUACAUCCCAGACUGCAUAUUCCUCAGCUGUAACGAGAUUCUUGCAUUUUUUAUCACACAGGAAAGUUUGAUUCUUUCCUAAUCCUUUCUUCCUAGUUCUGUAGCCCACGUUCUGCAAUCUCAUUCUUAGUCCUCUAGAAUGGAACUGCAAUGCCUGCAGUUCACAGCACCUUGUAAAAUCUUGCCCAGCUUUUCCAAACAGGGAGCUUUUAUCUACUUGCCUGCCACUUGAGCAAUGACUUUAACUGCUUAAACUGGCUGCUUGUCAAAUGCAGCUUAAAAAAGAAAAAAAAAAAGGAGGGGGGAGUGGGGGGUGUGUUCCCCUUGUGGUUUUUUGUUUUUUUUUGGUUCUUUCACUAAAACAUAAAAGAAUAUUUCAUACAGAAGUAAUAUAGAAGUAUGGCUGGGUUCACACUGUACAUCACAUUAAAUACUUGUCUGCCUAAAUAUGAAAUUGCAACAUGUUAGAGAGAAGAUUUUUUGUUUCAGUUUGUGUAAACCUAGAAAUUGAAUAUAGAAAACCUUUGGUUGAACACUCAUUGUCCAAGUAUCAAGGAAUUUUCCCUUCAUGAAGAGUUUUUAAUUCUUUGUCUUAUCCUUUUACUCCUCUUGAUAGCCUUAGUCUUUUCUUCUCAAUGGGGAACAGCAACAUCCUAAUUUCCAUGGAAAAACCCAUUGUUACCCUUACUUAAACAAUGAUUUUCCUAGAUCAAGGAAGAGUGAGAGCAGUGCCCGUGUAAAUUGCAAUAAGUGGUUUUGCACUAUAAAUCAAGCAAUCAGUGAAAUUGAGUUCUUGGCUUGAAGAGCCAAAAGGUGGGCUUGUUUUCCUUUGUAGCAUUGAUACAGUCUCCAGAGGUGUACAUUUUCAUCAUAUUAAAUUGCAGUGGAGCCAGUGGGGCAUGGGUAAGAGAAGAGAGAGAGGAGAAAGGCAGCUCUGCCUUUCGUGCCCUGCAUGGCCUAGUAGAAUAUUCUCCUUGCUGAGUACAAGAAACUUUCUUAUAUCUGCAGCCAAAUCUGCUGUCCAAAUUGUGUUAGUAGGACCAUAUCCAUUUUUCUGUGUGAUUUUAAUCUCACAAAUAUUGAAACUCAGUGUCUUCUUUUGAAAAAAUGUUGAGGUGUUCUGUUACUUGUUCAGUAUUUUGGGUGAAGGGGUUUGAUUUUGCUUUUAUUUGACAGGAAGGAAAUUCAAAGGGCAUAUAUAGUGAUAUCAAGCACUAGAGGUCCAUAUGAAUGACCAUAAGUUAAAGACAUCACAUAAAGAACACCAAGGUAUUGGGCUUUUAAUUGUGUCUUCAUAUAUUCAGCAAAACCAGUAUUUAUGCUGUGUUGCUGUAUCACUGCAAAGCUGUUGAUAUUUAAAUUUCUUGUUUGCCUAAACAUGAAUGAAUACAAAAGGCUUUCUAAAUCAUCACAAAGACUGCAGAAGCAUUGUGAUGCAUAACUCUACCUUUUUUCUAUUUAUUAUCAUGUGUGAUUGUACUUUAAAACUGCUCUAAUUCAGCAGUCCCCCACCUUCUUUUUAUGGCUUCUUUAAAGUAAAUUUCAUUGAAUGGGUUUGUAUGUUGCCCGUUCUGCUAUAUUUAACAUCAUACCUAAUAUUUAGAAACUAAAAUGCUGCUAUUGGGAUGAUGAUCCUUGAAAUGAGAAUGAGAGCUACCUAGUGCUCAGUUAUGAGAAUGAUGAUUCUAUUUAUCAUACAUGCAUUAAAAUGAUCAGAGAUGCCUAAUUUUUAUUUUUUUUAAAUCUGUCAGAAGAUUUACCAUAUUUUAAAUGUGUUUGUAAGUGCAGGCAUUUAUAAACAACAGUGUGAAAGCUGAAAUACACUACUACAAAUGCUGCGACCGCUUUCUUUUCUCUUUUGUCACAUAAUGCAUAGGACUGGCCAUAAAAUGAUCCUUUGUCCUAAAAGAGUAAAGCUUGUGCAAUUUUUAUUAGUGUGCAAAAUACGAAUGGAAGAGCAGGUGCGUGCAAUGUGCCUCAAUCUCUCCUGUUAGAGUUUUUCCGCUUGGUAUAAAUAAUUGAAUGUCCUAGUGGCCAUGGGAGGUGGGGAUAGAGCAAGUGAGCAGGAUGACAGCGUAGCCCAGUGACCAGAACAGUCAUCUGGGCUGCAGGGAAACCCAGGCUCAGUUUCUUCCUCUGUGACAGAUCAUGAGAGGAUGUUUGUAUUUCUUGCAGGAAUGUCCUAAUCACUAGGCUGAGGACUGUAUUGGAAUUGAUUUCACUCUCUUGUAUGUGUCUGAUAAUAGGGCAUCAUUUCCACUCAGAGGGUUGUGAGGGCAAACAUUUCUGCAAAAGUUAUUAUUUUUCAGUGGGGAAAAAGAGCUUUGUCAUGUUUUUGGCCAUAUCUGGUAAUAGAUAUAAAAAAUAGGAUUUAGAAUAUUAGCUAGUCAUGGUUUCCAAUGUACAUCAGUGUUAGUAAGCUUAAGAUAAAUACAAUUAAAUAACUUAUGGGGGACUAGAACUAGAGAAUUUAAUUUGCAAGAAUAGGAUAUAUCAUCUAUUUCCUACAGCUGCUUAGUUUCUAAAUUUGAUAUCUUAAAACUCUUGGAGUUGCUAUAAUUUCAGAUAAAAUGUCUUUCCACAGGCAUAAGAUAAUUUUUCAUAAGCUUUUAAAAAACUAAUAAAGUAAUAAUCUACAAUAUUUUAUUAUUUAUAAACCUAGCCUUGGGGAUAUGAUUUGCAAGGAUUUUUUUUUAUAUCUCAAUUCAGGGUGUACAUGUGAGCAGCCUGGGUGAAUAUAUCUGUCAGUCUUUUCUAUAGGUUUUUUCUUUCUAC
rnacentral:lncRNA from 1 species